GGGGAUUUAGCUCAGUGGCAUAAGCACCUGCCUUGUGAACAGGCAGUCGUGAAUUCAAUUCCCG
rfam:Cavia porcellus supercont2_76 genomic scaffold, whole genome shotgun sequence.